UGUCUUUGCCAUUUUCCAACUCUCUGGGCACACUAUCAGCAGCAUUCACAAUGGACGGAAUUCCUCCCUUACUACGCUCACAGAGUGUCCCAUUUCGGAAUGAUGCAAGCAAAUGGGAAACGCGAAUGCAAAUGUCAUGACCCCACCUCCAACCUUUCGCCCAACCCGGGCCAAGCAGAGGUUAAUACAACUGCGAAGCAACAAGAGAAAAAAGUCCCAGCGAAGGCAACCCUUAACUUGUUGAUCUGCCCGACAAAAUGAAAACUGAAAGUGAGCCUUAAAAAAAAAAAUAAAAGAAAAAGUACAAAAAACUCAGUGACCGGGCAAACGAACGUUUGGCUACCAAGAAAAGGUUGCCUGACCCAAAAGUAAGAUGAAGUACCAGAGUUUGCGGGGAUUGUACUUGCAUUGGAAAUUGGCAUCGAAACUGGGUUGGCUGCCCUGCGUUGGACCUGUGCAGGCCAUAAAUUUCGGAGCGACAAAUUAAUGUAUGAAACCUCAAAACUUGUUUCGAAAUCAGCCGAUUCUGAUGAUUAUCAGCGAAAUUUGCUUGAAUUUCAGGCAACAAUCAAAAUUGGGCAAAAAUCUGAGUUUUUUCCCAUCACAGCAACCAGACAAGCACAGAUCAAAUGGUCAAGGAUAUUCAAGGAUGUUGAACGCACCCGUUGGAGAGCAGAGCAGGGAAACUGGUUUUCAUGGUCCAGCAGCCGUUGCAGCUUUCAGAUGGAAGCCAGGUGUGCUACGAUCCUGAACUCCAUCUGGAUGAUGCUGUAUGCUGUAUGCUGUAUGCCGUAUGCUGCCUGAUCUGCAGACCCACCACCAUGAAUAGAAAACGCACUUUUUAUCAAACAUCCGAGCAACGGUUUUUCUAUAAUAAACUUGCCAAACGAGUUUCAUUGAAUGCAUUGUUGCUCAGCCGCGCCUAUUGUCCAUAUCCGGCCAGACAAUGCACAAAGCUUUGCAGCCUCCGGAGCCAGAUCGUCAUCCCCGGCUGGCGAGCGAAUCUGGCUGGGUAUAUAAGCCACGGCUGCUGCGCAGAAUCAAUCAGUUUCAUUUCAAUCUUCAAACGCUGAGGAUCAACAGCAGCAACAGCAGCAGCAGCAGCCAGGAGCAGCAGCAGGAAACCACCGAGGACUUUGUGGAUCAGCAACAGAUCCUCCAUCCCUCAGCGCAAUGCCCUAAAAGCGCCAAGGAGGCUGUUGCACGCGGCAUUACCAAAAAAAAAAUCUUCCAAGUUUACUUUCAACCGUUCCGAAAACUACGAAUUAAAAAAUUUUUUUAAAAAAUUCAACAAAUUACACAAGUUAAAACAAAACCUAAAACGAAAAACCCAAAUACCAAAUAACAGGCACCGAAAGUCAGAUUAACUCUUAUUUACAAACUAAAAAUACUACAACAAAAAUAUUAAGAAAAACCUAUAAAAACAGUUUGCAAAAGUAAACCAGAAGCUCCAAUCUUAAUAUAGUUUUGCGAUAUGGCCUAAAAACGGAAUCAAAAAUGAUAAAUGUUUAACGCACAACGAACCAAAUUCCAUAACAGACACUACAAAACUCUAUAUAAAUACUAAAAAACUAUAUUAAAAACAAAAAGAAAUAUAACAAAAUUUCAAAAGAAAUUAAGAAGUGCACACAACUCGACAACAAUUGGAAAGUUUUCAAAGCUAACCCAGAAAGAGGACGAAAAAGGAAAUAGCGAAUAGAUAAUAAUAUUAUUUUUUAUAUUUUACAGGACCCCCACAGUUGAGCAGAGAGCUAGACGCCUUCGAUUGAACUAGCAUGGAUCAAACAGCUACAGCAACAAAUUCCAAUUGACUCCGAGAAAAUUGUUAUGAAACUCAAAGAAAUUCUAAAAUGUUUAUUGCUCAUAUUUCUCUACUGCAACGACAAACGACAAAUCAACAAAUUCAUUAACAACAACAAAAAGCCAUCUCAUCAAGAGAACCAAUCCAAAUCAAAACGCCUUAAGAGACUGCAAUGCAACUGCCAGCAGCCCCAAACCAAAGCAUUGUGCCCCAAACAACAGACCCGGCCACCAAAUCCUACAGAAUUCCGACAAAAACUACAAGGAAGGAAACCCAAAUUCAAGUUAGCAACAACAAAAUCGAGAUUCGCAUAUAACGGCACAAAUGUUGCGACGCCGCCUGCUACGCUGAUGACGAUGAUGAUGAUGAAGACGAUGACAAAGCGUAAGAUCGAACAUUUGACGGCGAAAGUAGCAGGCAGCAGGAGCAGGAGCAGCGGCAGCGGCAGCAGCAGCAGCAGCAGCGACGGCAACGUCGUCAUUUAUCUAAGGCAGCAGCUUAACGGGGACACAGUCGCCCCGCCAUAGAUAUUUGGCUGAAUAUCUAAGCAGGGGCGGCUGCCCCAGCAGCAACCCCUCGACAGGAAGGAAUCAAACACAAACACACACACACACACGCAUACCACCCCAACAAGCAAUCUAAGUUUCUGCGGCGAAUUCGACACAAACACAAGCACAGCAUCACACACACACUCACACACACACGCAUACACAGAGAGAGCUACAGCCUAAGCAAGAGAAAUGGAGAGAGCAAGAGCGAGAGCAGCGAGCGCAGCACGAGAGAGCAUCUUUGGCAGCCCAAAAAGCGCACAACGAAAACAACAUUUCGCAAGUAUGUUUUGACCUUACGUUUUAGCUUAACGUUUUUCAGUUGCACUUUUAAAACCUUUCGAUUUCAAAGGCCGCUGCACAGCGUUGGCCAACAAAAACAAAUCGAAAUUAAAUAUAUCAAAAGAAAUAUUUAGCCAAAUUAAUACGCAAAACAAAAAAACAGCUAAAAGGUGAGCUUGUGCUGCGAACACAACAAAACAAAAAACAAAAGCAAAAAAAAAUAUAUAUCUAUUUAAUAAUGUACAGCAGCGAUUUUCCAUUAACAGCCAAACACGUUAACUCAAAAUCGAAUCCAAAUCCUAGUCCUACUAUAGUACUGCGAACAAAAAAAAAAAAAACCUUAGAAAGAAAAAUAAAACAAAAAAUUGAACUCUUCUUCCACGGCAUCGCAGAAGCCUUCAUUUCCAACCCGAACCCGGGCCCCUGUUAACCUACAAAAUCCACACACACAAUGCAAUAGUUUUUCAUUUUGUGUAUCAAAACGCAAAUCGAAUAAUGUUCCAAAUUUCAAAUUAGCGUUUCGUCCUUAUGAAUCUUUAGUUUUCACAAACCAAGUUAUUAAAACCUCUACGAAAAUCAAGUUUCGCACAUCAAGAGCUUCAGGCAUAAACCAACCACCAAUUUGGCACUGAACUUACACACACACACAACACACAUACUUUCGAAAAUAUACCCAUGCAGGGGCUCACGCUCACACACACCCAUGCACACAAAACACAUACACGCACACACACGCACACGCACCACAUAUACCCACACCACUUUGGUAAUAAAAUGGCUGCAAAGGAAGCUGCUUCUACGAUACCCAAGAAGAAAAGAAAUAGCCCGACCCCAAAACACAUUUUGAUAGCGAAAAGUAUCAGAACAUUUUUAAUUCUAAACAUUUUUGACGCUUUCAAUAUUUUUUUUGCAUUUUCAAAAAACUAGAGAUGGCAAAGGCGUUGCAGCAAUUUUUAAUUCGAAUUUUUUGAAAGUAAAAAAAAAAUAUUUAAUGCGCAAAAAUGUUCACGAAAAAAAACCUAAACACGAACCAAAAAUGGUACAUACUCGUAGGUAGCAUAAAAUCGUUGCCAAUAUCUUUCAAACACUUGAGAACUAAAAAACAAAUCGUCUGCUGGUCGUUGGUAACUAAACACAAACCGAAAGAAAUACCCCUUAAAACCGAAUUUAUUUUGAUUAAUUAGGAAUUUUUAUUUAUGUUUAUGGGUAAAGCGGCAAAUAUUGACGAAAUUCAAAAUCAAAACUCACAAAACGCUAACAAACUGACAAAUUCAUAUUUCAUAUUUAUUCAAUUAGAAAAUGAAUCUAAUCUAUUUACAACUCAAAAUCCAAACCAAUUUAAUGAUUCUCAUUUUAUUGCCUUAUACAUUUCAUACGGAAAAGCCUUCGUUUCCAACCAAAAACAAAAAAUAAGACUGAUAUUUAGAAGAUAUUUUAAAAAAUACACAAAAAUUGCUAAGAAUUAGUUAACCCAAAAAAUUUUAUUUUUUAUUUUAUGCAUUGAAAACCAAUUACAAAAAUAUCCCAAAUUCAAAUCUAAAUUACUAUAAUAUUUACAAGAAAUAGAAAACAAUCAGAAUUAACUUUUUUAAAUUCUCAAUUAUUUAUUGGAAGAUAAUUAAUGUCUUCAUACUUCCAAAUACAUUCGUUCAAAAUCAAUAUCCAAAAAUAUAUGCAAACAAAAUUCAGAACUCAAAGUAAAAUAAAUAUUAAAACUUUUUUGUUUUUAAUAAUAACAUACAAAAUUGAUUUUCAAUUUAAUACUUAAAUUAAUGUUUAGCACAAAUAAUUUGAAAACAAUCCUAAGAACGUGAAAUCCAAAAAUUGUUCAUAUAAAAACAACCAAAUUAAUUUAUUCUUGCUGAGAAAUUUCUAAAAUUCCUAUAAAUUAUAACAAAACAACUUUAAAUUGAUCAAAUUAAAAGAAAAAUUAUUUUAUAAAAAACUUGUUUAGAAGCAUUCACUUGAUAUCUAAAUAUCGAAAAUAUCCAAGCCAUUGACACUAACGAAAAACAAAAAGGCAUUUUUCAGCUUUUACUUUGACACUAAAGAAAACAUAAUUCCAUUCUUGGGCUUUUACUAAACUACAAAAAACGCCUCUCGCAAUAAUUUAUAUAAUUAAUUAUUCCUCUCCAAAAGCUUAUUUUGAUCACAAACAAACAAUUAACAGAGUAUCUAACAGUCUGUAUCUUUAGCUAUUUAAAAACUUUUCAAACAAUUAUAUUUUCGAAAUAUUUAAGACUGACCUGAAAAUUCUUUCUGAUUAUUAUUAUCUCGAACAAACUUUCAGUUAUAUUAUAUUCAAAGCUUCGACAAAUUAUUUUACAAAUUCCAUAUCUAAAGUAAAUCUUAACGAAAUAAUAUCAGAGCUCCAUAUCUAGAGCAAAAUUUACAUCUACAAAAAAUGAAACAAGAAAAUCAUUAAUAUUCUGUAAAAUUUUUAGUAAAUUUAUAUGUUAUUAGUUAUUAUUAUAACAAAGCAAAAGCAAAUAAUUUUAUAUUUAAAAAUUUUAAAUUUUUGGAUGUUCUUAUUUAUGAAUCAUACUUUCCUUUUAUUCUUUAACUUCGAAAUUAAAAAAUCAAUCUAGACACUAUUUUACUAUUUUAAAAUUAAGCAUGACAAUUUUUCUAUUGCUUUAGACUUUUUUGAGCUUCUAUCAAGCAACCAUUUUUAAAAAUAAAAAAAGGAAUAUCUUUCUAUUAAUUAAAAUUUGACAAAAACAGAUAAUAAUUCAGAACAUAUUAAUAUUACAUAUUCUGCUUACAAUUCUACAUAUUUAAAAAUAUCGUUCUUUGACUGACAAAAUAUAAGAGAAAAUCAUACUAAAAUUACUUACCUAAAAAAAACAUUUUUACCAUAGAUCAAUGUAACAAAAAUUAAAUUUAAACCUUUAAAUUUCAUAAAAUUAAUGUACCCGAAAAUCUAAAUCCAAGUUUAAUUUGAAAAGAAGAUUAAAAUUAAAUGUAAAUUUUAAAUUCACAAAUUCAAUACAAUCAAAACAAAACAAAAUCAUUUAAGCACUUAUCAAAUCGAAUUAUUUGUCUAAUUUUCUAGCACAUUUAGAAACAAAAAAUAUGCAUGACAAGGUUUUUAUCUUUUCAAACCCCCAAAAUCAAAACAACUAACUUCAUGAAAAUAAUUUUAAAUUUUAUUUCUUGAAUAUUGUGAUAUAUACAAAAACUAUUUAUUGUUUUAGAGAUUCCUUUUAACAAAUUACUAUCAAAAUUAUUUAAUUUUAGAGCUCAAAAUAUCCAAAGAAAUUCUAAAUUUCCACUUUCGGCUACUCUGGCAAGCAACAAUUUACAAAAUCCACAAAAUUCUAACACUAACCGGCAAUCAAAAUUCAAAAUCAAUAUCUAAAAAUUCUAGUACCUAAAACCACUCAAUUUCAAGUGAUCAAAAUCUGUGCAAAAUUAAUACGAAAUCCGAAAUCAAACACCAAAAAUCAAUCAGAAUUCUGACACAAUACAAAACUCAAAAAAAAAAUAAAUAAAUGAAAAUCUAAACAAGAAGAACUUCAAGUAAAUUCUUAGCUUUCGAAACACUCUGAGCAGUUCCGCCAAAGACCACAACAAAAUUAUAUUCAAUUCUAAAGAGCAAAAGACAAAUUAACUGAAAAGUCGCAGCAUUCGGAUGCCCUUUGGCGCAUAAUUAUUAUUAUUACACAUUAAGAUGACAAAUUGCAACGAAAUUCCCAAAAAGCAGCAUUAUAAAUUACAAGCACGAACGGAAGUUUUAAUGCGACAAAAAGUCAAGAACAACAAGAAAAAACAUCAUCAUCAUAAUCAUCAGCAUCAUUAUCAUAAUAUACCAAAAACAAGAGGAACGCAAAAAGAAACAAAAAAAAAAAACAAGACUACAAGGAGCAAGCAACUGUCCUGGCAAACUUUCUGGCAAAAAUCUUACAAAUGGCGGCCUACUCAUUCGCCAGAGAAAUAGGACAAGGCAGAUAAAUCAACGCGAACAAAACAAUUCCGAACCAAAAACAACAACGAUUAUUGUAAAAACUUUCGCAUAGAAGGGGUUGAAAUUGAAAAUAAAUUCAGUAGCCAGAUUCAUAUGCCAAAAUCCCUCAAGCACACUCACACACACACGCACGCACACACAUAACACACGCAGAGGCAUAGACAGAAACACAAGCCACAAAGCCAACGAUAGUUUUGGAUAGCUCAAAAUUGUAAACAUUUGAAAGCGAUUCUAAGAAGUCCUCGGGACGCAUUAUUUGCGCCUGACAGCAGCGAAGACAAAAAACAUACAGAGUUCACCAAAAUCCAAUUCAAAUUCCAAAUCGAAAUCAAAAUCUAAAUCAAAAUCAAAAGCGACAAAUGAAAACAGAAACACAGAACCAGCAGCCAGAACUUUAAGCACACGAAAGACAUAUAUCAGGCAAAUCAGCACCCACUACACCCUUUAAAUAAUGUGGUUAGUUUAGUUUUCUUUGGCAAAGAAAGUUCGAACCCCAUGAACAGCAGCAACAGCAGCAACAAGAGCAACAACAGCAACAACAACAUACUCAGUCCCCCAAUGCAUGCAGUUGAAAGCACAUCAAACAAAACUGUAAAUUUAUAUAAACUACUGGCAAUAGAGGAGAGGUCGUAGCAUAAUUGCUAUCAAUAAAUAAAAUAUGGCUGAAUCGUGGGUAGGUAGCUCAUAUGCGCUCUAACUCUAAACUUCAAUCAAGUCAAAAACUCCCAACGACCACCAGACAGACAAAUUUUUGAUUUAGAAAUUCAUUGCGAAAGUUGCCUGGCCAAGCGGCAGCAUAAGCAACAGACUAACAACAA